rnacentral:ncRNA from 2 species
CGCUCAUCCAGAGGGGCAGAGGGAAACGGCCCGUUGAAGCCCCGGCAACCCUCCCGCCGACCGCGAGGUCACGGUGGGGAAGGUGCCAAUUCCGUCUCGCGGCGAGAUGCGUCGCGAGGAAGAUGAGGA